UAGAGUUUGGCCUUAGUGAUUUUACAGAUUGUUCCAGGAAUGGUUACUGAAGUAUGAAAAGAGGUCUCAAAUAUGGUCUCUAUGAUUAGUAAAAUUACUACUAUUACAGUAAAAAUUACCAGAUACUAAUCAAGAGAUGGAUGAAAU